UAAUUUCGUCGUAAUUGUUAUCUUUUCAACCUUGUUUUUUUCCACUCGGUUACUCACGAGACCACAAAACCUAAACAGGACGGGGCCUUCCCUGACCCAGGGGCCCAGGCCCAGGGUCAGCAGCUCCUGGGGACCCGAUGGGGCUCCUGGGGGAGGCUCUGGCUGCUGCCUUGCUGCUGGGGAGCUGCGAGCAUCCUUCUGGAUCCCCAUGCUUCUUCCACCAUCCUCCACAGUGACCUUCACCAGGACAGCCAACUUGCAAACACUUCAGGCUGAGGAGGAGAUCCUACAGUCAUUCUGCAAACUGAAGAUUCAAGGCUAGCCCCUCCUGGAGUGGGGACAGAGUGAAGCAACGCUGAGGGCUGCUCCUGGAGCCUGCUGCAGCCCCUUUGAUUCCAUUUAAAUAUCUCCACAAGCGGUUAUAACAUGGACACCUAGGCCUCCUGCCCAGGCUCACAUCCUGCCUCUCAUCCUCUUGCUUGCUUCUCCUCAGGUCCGGGGCCUGCAGAUGGCUCCCUUUGGGUGGAAGGAACCGCAGGCUUCCAGUGCACAGAACCUGUCCAGAGAUGUGGGAAGCCCAGGAGGUCAUCAUGUCCUCAUCUUUCCUUCUCCCUCUCCAGAAUCUCAUGUAGCUCAGGCUAGCCCCAAACUUACCAUGUAGCUGAGGAUGACCUUGAGCUCCUGACCCUCCUGACUCUGUAUUGUAAGUGCUGGGCUGACAGGUGUGUACUGCCACACAAGGGUCUGUGGUAUUGGGAACAAACCCAGGGCCUGUAUAUACAAGGUGAGCAAGCCCUCUACCAAUCUCAAACCUGUUGCUUCAUUUUCAUUUUAAAAUUCUAGUGUUGUGUGUUUAUGUGUGCCAUAGCACAUAUGUGUAAGUCAAAGGGCAGCUCGUAGGAGUUAGCUCUCUUCUAGGUCUCAGGGAUUGAACUCAGGUCUACUUGGCAGCAAGCACCUUCAUCCCUUGAACAUCUAGCCAGCCCCAAACAAGUUCUUAAGUAUUGGGGAAAUAAACUAAUACAUAGGCCAGCCCUGGCCUGAGGA
rnacentral:lncRNA from 1 species